rnacentral:tRNA from 1 species
GAAGCAAGAAACCCAAAGGUAAGCUUCUAACUUAACCUUUAAGCAGUGGAAUUCUGUUUUUGCUUCU